GACGAACGCUGGCGGCGUGCUUAACACAUGCAAGUCGAACGGUGAAGCGCCUUCCUUUUUGGUGUGUGUGGAUGAGUGGCGAACGGGUGAGUAACACGUGAGUAACCUGCCCCCUCCUUCUGGAUAACCGCAUGAAAGUGUGGCUAAUACGGCAUAUUCUGGUUCUGUCGCAUCAUGGGUCUGGGAAACAUUUUGUUUCGGUAGGGGAUGGGCUCGCGGACUAUCAGCUUGUUGGUGGGGUGAUGGCCUACCAAGGCGGUGUCGGGCAGCCGGCCUGGUCGGGUUGACGGGGCUGGUGGGGAGGCGCGGCGGAGCAGACUCCGACGGGCAGCAGCAGUGGGGAAUAUUGCAUAGUGGGAGGCAGCAUGCUGCAGCGACGCCUCGGGGGGGAUGGAGGUCGGCGGGUUGUGAACCUCUGUUGCGAGGGAAGCAGGGCUGGCUAGUUUGUGGGUGGGUUGACGGUAGCUGGAGAAGAAGCGCCGGCUAACUACGUG
rnacentral:rRNA from 1 species